rnacentral:lncRNA from 7 species
AUGUUUUCUUCUUGUGAGGCUCUUCUCUUGAAGUUACGUGUCUCCUGUUAGCUUUAGUAGCCUGGUGACUUCCUUAUGCUCCCCAUCUGAAUGGCUCAGUGUUGGAGGAGGGCAGGUGCUGCAGCCCUGGCUACUGCUGCGUGCUUCAGCAAGGCGUGGUGCUGUGCCUGAGUCCUCUACCCGGUGUGUUGCAGAGGUGUGCUGCUAAGAGAAGGCUGCAGGAGGGAAGCUACCUUUUCCAGCUGUUGAAACUCAGCAACUGCUCUGGCCAAAUAUCCCUCGUGUAAAGCCCCAGCUCCUGUGCCAUGUACCAGCCUGGCUUUGUACCGCGGGGCUACUGUCCAACCAUGGUCCCAUCUCCUCCCUACACCUACCUACCACUGCGCGCUGGGAGAGCGGAAGACCCAAACAGCUAUCCUGACUAUGUGGGGAGUCAGGUGGAGUACCACCACUUGUACAGUGCCUCCAACCCCUACUUCCAUCCGUACUACACCUGGCAUUUACCCGCUGUGGUCCCUGUCCCGCUGUACAAUCCAUAUGCAACCUACAGUCCCUACGCUGCCUACCAGAGGUCAGACCAGUAUCGAGACACGUGGCCUGAGGGCUUCACCAUGAGAGGGGAGCUUCAGUGGGGGAAGCUUGGGAAGGUGUUUGGACCAAGGAAAGACCUCCCAGAAUUCGUUAAGGAUGAUCUCCGGAGGGUUUAUGGCACCUACCCACGGACCAAUGUCUCCAUCACCUACCGGAGAGGGGAGUUCUUAGUGAAAGCAGACCCCAAGGUAGGAGAGCAGGAGUACACAGUGGAGAAAAAUGUCAUCCAGAGGGCUCUGACUCCCAGUGCCAGUGAAGCAGAUGACAGCAGUGAGGAUCGGAACAGGAAGAAGAAAAAGAAACUGAGACGUUGAUGUGGUUGGUCACACAAUAAACGGAUGCUCCACGGUCCCAGGGAGCCAGCUGGCAGCUGGGAAGCAGCUCAAGCAACGGGUGCCACCACUCCCCUGGGCUUUUAACUCCUCUGUGUCCUCCACAAGCCUAUGGCAGCUUCACCUGUUUGAUGCACAACGCCUGUCCUGUGAAGAAACCACCUGGCACUUGUCUGUCUGUCUGUCAGAUCAGCAAUUCGGUCCUGGUUUUGGAAUGGAUUCUUACUUACCACUGGUUUGGUUGGGUGGCCACAGGCUGGGAGGGGAUUCCCGGAGAGCAGCCCUUGGUUAGAUGGCCCUCUUCCUACACUGUCCAGGGGAAGGUCCUGGGAGCUGGAUCCCUUCCUGGCACUCACUUGAGGAAAACAAAACUGGAUUUCCUUUAAGUUGAAGGCAGUGCAAGUCCCACAGGGGAGAGGAGUUUUCUGGCACUGUAAAGAGUAAUUAUCUGCAUAUCAUUGCUGCUGUUUUAUGGCUGUACCGUUGUGCUUAUGGUGUGAUGCCUGCACACAGCACUUUGCUGCACUCUGGCAGAAGAUCUUGGUGUCCUGAUCCUCUUACACUUGGUAACCUGGUGCUUGUUCCUCAUGGCCAUGUGUCCUGGCUGAAGUGGCUGCCUGAGGCUCUCCCCUGGGUCUGACCCAGCUCUGGCUGGGGGUGCUGCCUUGCUGCUGAUAGCAGAGCCCUGUGUCCUGUGGCACCUCUGUAGCUGCUCUCCUGGAUCUGAGAAUGACUUGCUUGUGAACUUGUGCCUUUUAAAUGAUUAUAAAUAAACAAUU